rfam:Gossypium raimondii Chr06_contig_82, whole genome shotgun sequence.
UAUUAAAAAUUUCAUCCAUUUUUUAUUUUUAGAAACUGGCGAGGUUAAUAGAAUAACUAAACAGUCACAUAUGGAAUGUCAUAAACCAAUUUUAACUGUAGAAGUAGAUGAAAUUUUUAAUA